GACGAACGCUGGCGGCGUGCUUAACACAUGCAAGUCGAACGGAAAGGCCCUGCUUUUGUGGGGUGCUCGAGUGGCGAACGGGUGAGUAACACGUGAGUAACCUGCCCUUGACUUUGGGAUAACUUCAGGAAACUGGGGCUAAUACCGGAUAGGAGCUCCUGCUGCAUGGUGGGGGUUGGAAAGUUCGGCGGUUGGGGAUGGACUCGCGGCUUAUCAACUUGUUGGUGGGGUAGUGGCUUACCAAGGCUUUGACGGGUAGCCGGCCUGAGAGGGUGACCGGCCACAUUGGGACUGAGAUACGGCCCAGACUCCUACGGGAGGCAGCAGUGGGGAAUAUUGCACAAUGGGCGGAAGCCUGAUGCAGCAACGCCGCGUGCGGGAUGACGGCCUUCGGGUUGUAAACCGCUUUCGCCUGUGACGAAGCGUGAGUGACGGUAAUGGGUAAAGAAGCACCGGCUAACUACGUG
rnacentral:rRNA from 1 species